CACGCAGGCGGUUUGUUAAGCUAGAUGUGAAAGCCCCGAGCUCAACUUGGGAUGGUCAUUUAGAACUGGCAGACUAGAGUCUUGGAGAGGGGAGUGGAAUUCCAGGUGUAGCGGUGAAAUGCGUAGAUAUCUGGAGGAACAUCAGUGGCGAAGGCGACUCCCUGGCCAAAGACUGACGCUCAUGUGCGAAAGUGUGGGUAGCGAACA
rnacentral:rRNA from 1 species